rnacentral:rRNA from 2 species
UGACCUCGGAUCAGGUAGGGAUACCCGUGACUUAAGCAUA